GCAAUAUUACCCGUCGUUGAUUCUCAAGCUCCUGGUCCUGGUAAUUCUGGCACAGAAACAGGAAUUGCGUCAGCCUCAACAGUUACAGACUUACGAAAUAGUGACUGUGGUCAAAACUCUUCGUUCUUGUCUGUUGCACAAGAAAUUCACGACUUUAAUUUGAGUGCUAUCUUAGAGGGAGAUGUUAUUGGGCGAGCAAUUUUAACAAAACACAACACGAACGUCCCAGUAACUAACAGAAAUCGAAACAGCUUAUGUGAAAUAGUAAUUUCUUAUUUUUUGAAUAAAUCUGUUAAACUGAAUAACGAUUUUUUGUCGCGCAUUGCGGAUGAAAUUACAAAGAUCAUCCCUACUGAAAAAAAACUACUUAUUUCGUAAGCCCCAUCAAAAAAAUUUGUUCCAGAUUUAAUAAACCCGAAGUAGCAAGAGGAAAACUUGUGGACAAACACAGGAAUAAACUGAGAGCUUUAAGAAGAACAAUAGAAUUCCCACCUGUGCCAAGUAAUUAUAAUACUGAACCUACUUCUAAUGAACCGUCACAGAGUGCUAAAGACAGUCAAAUUUGGCUUUUGCAUAAUCGUGAAACUGUAGAAGAUGUGUUACAACAUCGGAAAAAUGCUUAUGAAAUAAGAAAAUUUUGUAAUAACAAGAACGCGACAAUAGAAUCUUUUCUUAAUGAAUGGCCGAUUUUGAAUGAGCAGAUAGCUAUAGAACUGGUCUCAUACGACUUCAAACAGAUGUUCCAACUUGAAUUAACCGCAAUUGAUUUAGAAAAUGCUUUUGAAAAAUUCUUUGAUUCUGUAAUUCAUAAAAGAAGGAGUAGUUUAAAUGCAACUGAUGAAACGUUUAUACAGUUACU